UAAUAUAUUGUUUUUGUUUUUAUUAGUACUUCUAAAGCAGAAGAACAUUGUAACAUAAACAUACAAUGUAGCUUCAUUUGCAGUCUCUAACUUGCAUUUUGUUUACUCUUCCUCAUUUUAGCUCAAGUGGGAGGCUCCAAGUGAAGAGGAACUUAUUAAAUUUCUAGUUGAAGAAAAAGGAUUCAGUGAAGACAGGAUACGCUCAGGAAUAAAAAAGCUCAGCAAAGCUCGCCAGGGGUCCACUCAAGGAAGGCUUGAUUCCUUUUUCAAAGUUCUUCCCUCUCCAAGUCCUUCAAGUAAAAGAAAGAGCGAGGAUACAAAAGGAUCAAAAUCCAAGAAAGCCAAGCCUACUACAGGAGGGAAGUUCAAGAAACCUAAAUAAAGAGGACUCCAGAGCAUUUGUCAUCAACAAGAGCUGGUUGUUCAAGAUUGCUUUGACUUCUGUGCCUUAAUGUUGAGAACAAAUUCUUCACUGGAUAAUUUGAACAGCAAUCUGAACAUGCAAACAAGGCUGUAAUAGUCUAAGUUCCUGAUUCCCACAAAAGAUACAAUAUGGCUUGCAUUAUAUGGAAAAGAUAUGUUCAUAUGUUUCAGGUUUAUAGUAAAAAUGGUCUCUCAUGGUUCACUGCGGUUCACUUAAUUUUGAAUUGAAAACCUCAAAAUGUUUAGUCUCCAGAGAUAACUAUUGGAGUCUGCAAAAGGGUGUCCCUUUCUUGGUUGUAUAGCAACCCAAGGGGCAUGUUUUAAACACAAAGGUUGUGUUUUCACUAGGCCGAUAAACUAGCUGAACAUUCUUUCUAGGUGUUUGUUUACAGACCAACAUUUGCUAGUUGAAUGUGACAUCUGUUUUCACUGGAAAUUUAACCCAGAAUUUAACCCGCUGACUCAGAAGAUUCAAAUUACAAAAGCGCGCAACUUUCAAAAAUGUAUGAAAGAGGAAACGCCUUUAAUGACUUCUCUUGUAUUAAUUCUAACUAUAUUUAUGCGUAGGAGAUCGAGAAGGCAUUUUUUUCUAGAGGACGUGGUUUAUGUCUCCAGAAAAGAGGAAGAUGCGAUGAAAUGUUGUAAUGCAGGAACUUGUUUUGCACGUCGGGUGACGCCAUUUCAUAGGUAAGGUCCUGGCCCUGGAACUGGAGAAUAUAAUGGGACCUUAAGGAUGGUAAACUGAAAUAAAUGAGAAGGACUGUUGAACUCAUCUGCUGCUUAAAGUUCUGUUUCGCAAACUGAACCUGAUACAAGCGUCUGGUAAAUACUAUUACCAGAUUCUUUGGUAGGCGUCUGUCACUACACUUAAUGUGAUUGGCUGCAGCAUUUACUGGGACAAGUUAUACCAUCUAGCGAGGUAGUAUAACUUGGUGUGAAUUUCCAGUCAUAUAGGCGAGAUAAUUGCUUAUUUUUUCUGGUGAAAACAGAGUGCAUUUUUAACUUGCUAAACUCAAGACGAACUGUUUUCACUACAUUUCCAGACUUUUCCGACUUUAUCUAGCCAAAAUUGUCCUAAUGAAAACACAAACAAAAUGGCAAAAUGUCAAAAUGGUACUAUGCGUAAAGGUCAAUGUGAGAUACUGGUGUCUGUAAGGAUACAGACAGGAUUUGUGGGAUACAGGUGUCCUAACCCUAACCUUUACAAUUAUUGAGAGCUAACUACUGUGAAAAUCAAUGAUAUUCAGGCUUACCUGAGUGCACUUUAGGCUAACUAGAGGGCCAUUUCGGCUAACCGUAAUAAUAUUUUGUCAUUUUGCCAUUUCAUGUUUUAAACAUACCCAAGCUGAAGACCAGUUUGUGUAAUGUAUUGCAUGACGUCACAUGAUGGAUGUAUGUUGAGUUUGCAUAUUAUGGGUUAAUUAAAAUUGAGUUGAGCAUGUGGCCGUCAUCCACGUUUUGUUUGUUGUGGUGUUCCUCCCGUUUCUGGCCUUAAUACACUUCAUUUGGUGACAACGAGCAAAAAUGGCGACUGUUUGGUAGAGUAGAUGCAUUUGACGAGAACACUGAAACAUGGGAACACUACACAGAGCGAUUAGGACAUUAUUUUGAUCCAAAUGGUAUUGGUGAUGAGUCCAGAGAUGACAAAAGAAAACGUGGACGACGGCCGUGUGCUCAACUCAACUUUAAUUAACCCAUAAUAAGCAAACUUGACAUACAUCUGUCACUUGACGUCAUGCGAUACAUUACAGUUUGUUAGGUGUAUAUAGUUAAAUUAAAUCUUGUAUGUGUAUAUGCACAGGACUGGCCAUGGGUCUGUUAUAGUAUAGUAAGUGUUUGAAUAUGUGAAAUUUAGUGACUAUUCUAUUUAAUGAAAUUACUUUCAAACUUGGUAAGGUUAUGUAUUUUCAUUAAUGCUUGAUUUGUGCCUUUUCCUGCAUUGAGGUGAAUUGCAAGAAUAAAAAAUAAUAGGCAUCAAAUAUCACACAAAGCCUUAUGAUAUUGUUCUCAACGGUCAACCUGUAGCUAGUGUUACUAGCACCGACUACCUACCAGCUCCUCAAAAUGCGAGAGUUUGGGCUGCCUGAGUUCUGCUAAGUGUCUGGAGAGCCCAAAUAAUGAAUCAUAAACAGCAAAUAACAGCAAAUGUUCAUCAGUGGUUAACUCUGAGUUAUUGAAGGGUAUAACAAUUAAAUACAAUUAUUGUUAUCCAGAGCAAACUGCUGCUGAAUUAACGCAUUUUAGGAUAACCAAAGUGCGAGUCAGGUUAACCAUGACUAUUUGUCACCACUUACUGUUUUUUAUUGGCUAAUCAGGUUUUUCAGACACCUUUCUUUGGCUGUUUUCUGAAAGAAGAUGGCUGAAUUUCAUUUAUCUGCAUAAACUUGAAAAGGGACCCUUUUAACACCAGUCUGGCCUUCCUUCAGUGUCAAAACACUUGUAAUACAGUAAAAAACUGUGAGUAAGAAUCUAG
rnacentral:lncRNA from 1 species